rnacentral:rRNA from 1 species
GUUGAACGCUGGCGGCGUGCCUAAUACAUGCAAGUCGAGCGAACGGACGAGACGCUCGCUUCUCUGAUGUUAGCGGCGGACGGGUGAGUAAUACGUGGAUAACCUAUCUAUAAGAAUGGGAUAACUUCGGGAAACCGAAGCUAACAUCGGAUAAUAUUUUGAACGGCAUGGUUCAACAGAGAAAGACGGUUUUGCUGUCACUAAUAGAUGGAACCGCGCUGCAUUAGCUAGUUGGUAGGGUAACGGCUUACCAAGGCAACGAUGCGUAGCCGACCUGAGAGGGUGAUCCGCCACACUGGAACUGAGACACGGUCCAGACUCCUACGGGAGGCAGCAGUAGGGAAUCUUCCACAAUGGGCGAAAGCCUGACGGAGCAACGCCGCGUGAGUGAUGAAGGUCUUCGGAUCGUAAAGCUCUUUUAUUUGGGAAGAACAUAUGUGUAAGUAACUGUGCACAUCUUGACGUUACCUAAUCAGAAAGCCACGGCUAACUACGUG